GGGCAGAGCGCGUGUGGCGGCCGAGCACAUGGGCCCGCGGGCCGGGCGGGCUCGGGGCGGCCGGGACGAGGAGGGGCGACGACGAGCUGCGAGCAAAGAUGUGCCCCGGGACCCCCGGCACCUUCCAGUGGAUUUCCUUGCGGAAAGGAUGUUGGCGGUCCCUGUGACCUGUGGAGACACGGCCAGAUCUGCCCUCCAGCCUGAUCUUUUGGCCAGAAGGAGAUUAAAAAGAUGCCCCUCAAGAUGGCUGUGCCUGUCAGCUGCAUGGAGCUUCGUUCAAGUAUUUUCUGAGCCUGAUGGAUUUACAGUGAUCUUCAGUGGUCUGGGGAAUAACGCUGGUGGAACCAUGCACUGGAAUGACACACGCCCGGCACAUUUCAGGAUACUAAAAGUGGUUUUAAGGGAGGCUGUGGCUGAAUGCCUCAUGGAUUCUUACAGCUUGGAUGUCCAUGGGGGACGAAGGACUGCAGCUGGCUGAGAGGGUUGAGAUCUCUGUUUACUUAGAUCUCUGCCAACUUCCUUUGGGUCUCCCUAUGGAAUGUAAGACCCCGACUCUUCCUGGUGAAGCAUCUGAUGCACGUUCCAUCCGGCGCUCAGCUGGGCUUGAGCUGACCAUACUCCCUGGAGCCUUCUCCCGAGGUGCGCGGGUGACCUUGGCACAUACAGCCAUCAUGAUGGUACUUUAAGUGGAGGCUGAAUCAUCUCCCCUUUGAGCUGCUUGGCACGUGGCUCCCUUGGUGUUCCCCUUUUACUGCCAGGACACUGAGAUUUGGAGAGACCCCGGCCUUUCCAGGAUGCCUUUUGGAGCCCCUGCUGGCCACCACAUAUCAUGUUCUGAAGUUCUACAGCCCUCUGAGUUGGACACUGACCAUCUGGGGGCUCGAGUCAUCCUCAGAUUGAAUCCUGUUACACCUGGGAUUUAGGCACUUUCAAUCUGAAAAAAUACAUAUCCUUUCAGCACUCUGGACGGACUUGAGAACUGUCCUUACGUGACCUAAAGCUGGAGUAUUUUGAGAUUGGAGAAUUAAGAGUGUGGGCACCCUGGCUUCAAGCUCACGAGAAACCAGGUCGGGAUUUAAACAAUGUUGGGUUAAAGCAAAGUUUCAUAAAGACAGAAUCAAGAAAAAAAGAAAGAGAAA
rnacentral:lncRNA from 1 species